GGGAGGCACUGCAGCAAUUAGUGUGGACUGAGUUGAAGGAGUAGAGGAAAUCUGGCCACCGUGUUUAGUGGUCAGAAAUAAGUGUAAUCCAUUAAUGAUGUCCAUGAGGCUGUGUGCACCAAAAAUCUGCUUUAGAAAAUCAACUGAUUACUAUGCACAGCGUGGGAUGGCCGAGGAGUCAACAACAUUGUGACUUGACUACAUUAGUUUUCAAACUCCAAUCAGUGGCACUCUUCAGUGAGGACGAAGAGAUGGCGAUAAUUGACAGCAUUGAAAUGACCAAGUCUCCCACUCCCAUGCUGGUGACAAAUAACACCUUCCAAGAUGUCAU